rnacentral:rRNA from 1 species
CAGCCGCCGCGGUAAAACGGAGGGCGCGAGCGUUACCCGGAUUUACUGGGCGUAAAGGGCGUGUAGGCGGCCUGGGGCGUCCCAUGUGAAAGGCCACGGCUCAACCGUGGAGGAGCGUGGGAUACGCUCAGGCUAGAGGGUGGGAGAGGGUGGUGGAAUUCCCGGAGUAGCGGUGAAAUGCGCAGAUACCGGGAGGAACGCCGAUGGCGAAGGCAGCCACCUGGUCCACUUCUGACGCUGAGGCGCGAAAGCGUGGGGAGCAAACCGGAUUAGAGACCCGCGUAGUCCCUGUCUCUUAUAA